GGAGGUUGCAGCGUAAACUUUUCAGUGUCCGGAGGAGCUGCUGACUGUCUAAGAUGCAGACAGAAACAGAUAGCGCUUAGGCAACCGAUAUGCUCAGCUGGUGAAGCCAGGACCUGAGUUUGAGCCCCAGAACCCACCUAAGGAUGGACAGUGGACCGAGAGAACUGACUCCAAAGCACAGGUGCUUCCUCUCUCUACCCCUGAGUCACAGACACACACACUCACACCGUAACAAAAAAUCCUGGUGGAGGCAAUGUAAGGAAAGAAUGGCUUCUCAUGGCUCACAGUUUGUGGGUACCGUUCAUCAAGGUGGGGAAGACAUGCAAGCCAGAACUGUUCCCAGUGCAUCUGAGUCUGGAGUCAGAGAAAGGGGGAAGUUGGUAUGGAAUCACUUAAUUCAUAAGUUGUUAUUAUUAUUAUUAUUAUUAUUAUUAUUAUUAUUAUUGUUUAUUUU